rnacentral:misc_RNA from 1 species
GCAAAAGAGCAAAAAACACACAUGCAAGAGCAAGAGGAAGAGUGUGAGUGAGUGUGUGUGUGUGUUUGGGGGGUCUCUCUGUGGGGCUGUGAACGGUACGCAAACGGUGGGGUAGCAGGGUUAGGGGCGGGAGCUGCUUUCAACUGCGCUGCCCUGACAAAUUGAAAAACCGCGUCGACAACGAAAACGACGACCAACUAAACUUAGUCAGCCUCAGCCAGCGAAAAGAGCACUCUCCGGGUCCGGUCUCCGCUUGAGAAAGAUACAACUCCAACGAUAACAGUUUGA